UACGUAGGGUGCAAGCGUUGUCCGGAAUUAUUGGGCGUAAAGAGCUCGUAGGCGGUCUGUUACGUCGGCUGUGAAAACCUGGGGCUCAACCCCGGGCCUGCAACCGAUACGGGCAGACUAGAGUUCGGCAGGGGAGACUGGAAUUCCGGGUGUAGCGGUGGAAUGCGUAGAGAUCCGGAAGAACACCGGUGGCGAAGGCGGUCUGCUGGGGUAAUGCUGACACUGAUGCGCGACAGCGUGGGGAGCAAACAGG
rnacentral:rRNA from 1 species